AUUGAACGCUGGCGGCAGGCCUAACACAUGCAAGUCGAACGAGUGGCGGACGGGUGAGUAAUGUCUGGGAAACUGCCUGAUGGAGGGGGAUAACUACUGGAAACGGUAGCUAAUACCGCAUACCAUCAGAUGUGCCCAGAUGGGAUUAGCUGGUUGGUGGGGUAACGGCUCACACAGGCGACGAUCCCUAGCUGGUCUGAGAGGAUGACCAGCCACACGGGAACUGAGACACGGUCCAGAAUCCUACGUGUGGCAGCAGUGGGGAAUAUUGCACAAUGGGCGCAAGCCUGAUGCAGCCAUGCCGCGUGUAUGAAGAAGGCCGUCGGGUUGUAAAGUACUUUCAGCGGGGAGGCGUUACCCGCAGAAGAAGCACCGGCUAACUCCGUGCCAGCAGCCGCGGUAAUAC
rnacentral:rRNA from 1 species